GGAAGGAUUAACUUUAUUUGAAAGAUAAGCCAAAUAUUUGCAGCAGAACCUUUGUACUUCUAGGAGAACAGACUAGAAGUUCUGAAACGACACAGAGGAAGCAGAUACGGUAUAUUACAAAGCUCAACAUCAUGAGCACUGCAGGGAAAGUAAGUAGAUGAUUUCUUUUAAAGUUGCUUUUUCAGCCCCAAGAUGCAUAAAUACAAAAAAUAAAAAUAGGCUAAUUGUAAGCCACCCUGAAGAAUUUGGCUAUAGGUAGGGCUUCUUUUCAGCUGGAACUCACCAGAACUCAAUUCCGGCACUUCUCAGAUGGGUGCCAUUGCCAUUGUAAGAGAACAAAGGAGGCAUUCAUGGUGAGUUCCAGCACCUCAUUUACUAGAAAAAUUGCACUGGUAUUGGGGCGCAUAUUAAAUAUUAAACUUGCACAGGAUUGCAAUGUUAGCUGCGUGUAAAAAAUAGUAUAUGCUCUUUUAUUAUUUAACAGGACAUUGAAAUCAGAGCUGUCACUGUAAAUUGUUUUCAUGUUUUGUAUGAUAUUCUAUUAUCUCAGGUCAUUAAGUGCAAAGCUGCUGUUGUCUGGGAAGUCAAGAAACCAUUUAGUAUUGUGGAAAUAGAAGUUGCCCCACCUAAGGCACAUGAAGUUCGGAUUAAGGUAAGAGAGACAAACCAAAACUGGCAUUUCUGCAGAUUGUUAGUAUCUGCACUAGGGAUGGAGAAAUUUGAUUCAGUUUGCACUUAAAGAUAAAUCUACCUAAUUUAUGCUUUCAAAAACAAUAUGAGAAUGGGGAAGGGCUGCAGCCCUGGAGGAACAGCUGUUUUGCUUGCAAAAGUCUGAAGAUGAAUCACUGGUAUCUCCAGGCAGGUGUGGGAGAGUCCCUAGUCUGACUCUCUGGAGAGCUGCUUUCAGUCAAUGUGGAAAAUGCUGAGCUAGAUGGACCAAUGGUCUGACUCAGUAUAAUUAACAACAACAACGACAACAACAACUUGUACCCCACCCAUCUGACUGGGUUGCCCCAGCCACUCUGGGUGCCUUGCAACAGAAUAUUAAAAUCACAACAAAGGUCAACACUAACACUUUGAAUUGUGCUUGGAAACACACGGGGAGUCAUUGUAGAUCUUUAAAGAUCAGUGUUAUACGGUCUUGGAGGCCGCUCCCAGUCACCAGUCUGGAAGCUGCAUUCUGGAUUAAUUGUCAUAAUUGUAGUUUAAGGCAGAUUCCUGUGUUCCUAUGAGAACCAAAACACACCCAUUUUUCAAAAUUCGCACUUCUCCAACUUUUGCGAUGCCAAGUAAUAAGUGUAAAAUUUCAUAUAGUGGUGUAAAAUGUGCACAAAAAUGCCAGUAUUAAUGAAUAUAAUAUACGAAUAUGCUUGAUAUUAGACAACGUUGCUUUGCACUGUUGCAUAUUAGGCAAAAUUGCAUGCAAACAUGUUUAUAUUAGGAGAAAUUUGCACUGAAAUCCUGAUGAAUUUUCAUGAGUACUUUAAAACAAAAACCUGCAAACUGAUGUGGAAAUGUGGGAGAGUUUUGAACCCCUGCAAGUUGCUGCAGGAGAGGGAUUGUGAGCAAUAUCAUGAGAGGGGUGUUUCUAGGACUAAGGUGAAACUUAAAAGCUCCCUUGUUAGUUUUGCUAUUGGAUGAUGGGUGUCAAUUAAAGACUUCCUUUUUCCAAAAAAACCCACCCCAUCCUGUCAAGUGGAGAUCUUUAACUAAGUCUGAAUUACUGUAUUUUUCCGUGUAUAAGACUAUAUUUCCCCCCAGAUUUUUUAAGUUUAAAAUUGGGGGUCAUCUUAUACACAGAAUGUUGCAAUUAAUUAUUUCUUAAUUUUGGGCUCAAAAAAUAGGGGUCGUCUCAUACAUGGGGGUGUCUUAUAUACGGAAAAAUAUGGUAGAUGUGAAAUUGUAGAUGUGAAAUUGUUUUCACACAUGAAAUUAUAUUUGAUUGUUUUAAAUAUUUGUAUAGGUUGAUCUGUUUGUAAUUGUUUCUAUUAUUUAUGUUUUUAGAUAUCAUUUUGAGAUAUCUUAUGGGAAGCAAUUCAUGAACUGAAUUU
rnacentral:lncRNA from 1 species